AUAAAAGUAAAGUUAAACACAAAAGUCAAACUAUAAUAUGCGUUAUUUUGACAAAUUAGUACCAGUAAUACCCCCCAUUAGUAACACGUAAUAGUGGUGAAUGCAAGUUAUUUGACGUGGGUGACUUUUUCCAUAACAGAUAUCUGCUUGAUGCAAUAUAGGGUGAAAAACAUUCACUCUGAAACAAUUGUAUUUCAUAAUAACUCCAAAGUAAAUUAUGAAACACCUGCACAGUGUAUUCAGGGUUAAUGGCAAUGUACAUUCAUUGUUUUAAAAGGUGCGCUGCACACUAUCACAAACAGAAAAUUAAUAGCGCAGAGUUACAUACUGGAGAUACCUUUCUAGAAAGUAGGCAAUUUCAAAGGCUUUUAACACUCAAACAUGCUGCUGUUUAAGAUCUACUCUGUUCAGCUAACCUCUAUGUACCAGAUCACUCGUACUUGUGAGAGCACCAUUAGUUAGAUCCUGCAGCCAAACAGGAAUUAUCUAGGCAGGGCUAAUUCCUAGCUGCUUUAGAACUGACUGAGAAGUACUAUGCAGCAACACAUAGGUUGAACAGGGGUUGAUUGGUCAUACAAACGUAAUGACCAUUUUUACCACAGCCUCACCCAUCAUCAGUUAAGAACCAAUCCCAUUGCACUGGUGAAUACAGGCGCUGAAAAUCUGAGGAGUGGAAUUCCACUGACACUUUAUAAAACUAUUUUAUCUUUGUCCAGAUUGUGUGCCAUGAAUCUGAAGCAAACUUUUCAGGAACUGUCUAGAACUAGCGUUCUUUCACAGUGCUGACACUGUAGAGAUCAUGACACUUCUGAGUGUGGAUAUGCUGGCAAACCUCUGCGAGAUACUGCAGCUCUGGAACAAGAGGUGAAGGACAGGGUCUUAACUUAUAGUCAAUUGUUGCUAAAACCCGCCCAUUUUAACCAUAACAUCCCUUAGAAAAAUUUAGAAGAAAAAAAAUGCUAGAAAACUUUUAUUUACCCACAUCCUCAGUAUAUCAAAGGCUUAACAUUUUAACGUGUUUAUUACCAGUUGUGACAAGCUGGCUCUAGUGGUGACGUCAGACCAGAAAGGAGUACACAGACAGGCAGUACUUGCAGUUGAAACUGAGACCCAAUUGCUGCGCUCAGUGUUUUAAGGAAACAAAUAAGAUUUAAACAAAAACAGCACACGGCAUUUUAGCCAAACUAAACAGACAAACAAAACGGACUAACACUUAAACAAACGGUGGAUGAACAGACAAACAAACACGGUACAUUUGCAAGGCAUGUUUCCCCUGGAGAGAAGGCAGUGAUAGAAUGUGAUCUACAAGGAGCCUCUGAGAUUACCUGGUACCGACAUUGUGCAGGACAAUCUCCUGUCGCUAUAGUGCUCUUUGCAAAAGGUUCUUCUCUCCCACCAACUUAUUAUAAUGACUUCCACAGUGGAAGAUUCAGUACCUCCAUUAAAAGUGGAACCAUUAUAUUAACCAUUGAAUACUUCACUGAAGCAGAUUCAGCCACAUAUUAUUGUGCCAGAAAAGAAAAAGGAGAAGUCAUGUUUGGGAAUGGAACUCAGCUGACAAAUGAAGGGUUGCAAGACGAUGGAAAUAAAACAAAUGAAAGUCAGAUCAAAUCCAAGAAUUGUGAUUUAUUCAUUAUUCUUGCAGUCAGCUUUUCUAUGAUAUUAUUUCUUACUUUUGGUGGAAUAUUGCUUUAUUGUAUCAAAAGAAAAGUUUUACAUCAUAACAAGAACAACCAAUACCAUGUUAAAGAGGACAAAAAGGAUGAUUCAGAGAUAAUGAAGAAUAUGAAAGAAGCUAAUAGUGAAUAUGAGACAAUGAAGAAUAUAAAAUAAGCUAAUACUGAUUAUGAGGACCUGUUGCAAUGGAACAAUUCAGUGUAUCAAGUGUGCAGCAACCAACCUAAAGUGACAACAAGUGAUUCCAGAAUCAGCUACAGCAGGAGAUAUAAAUAAUCAGAAAUGUAUUUGCAGAUACAUUAUAUAUAUAUAUAUAUAUAUAUAUAUAUAUAUAUAUAUAUAUAUAUCUAUAUCUAUAUCUAUAUCUAUAUAUAUAUAUAUAUAUAUAUAUAUAUAUUUAGCUCAAAGAGCCAGCUGCCCAAUGUAGUAGUGUCAAUGACAGUACAAUAGUCUAUAUUACCAUGGCAAUGGAACCUUAUAAUGAAAAAAUAUAUGCCUUUAUUUUGCACAACCAAAUGUGUUAAAUUGAAAAAAAAAAUUUUACAGUAAUAUAUGAAUUACUGCACCAUGAAUCUCCACUAUCAGCAGGCCAUUUUUAAACAAAACAUCACCAUUUAUAUCACUCUGCAACAAGCAGAAAAAUGCAUUAAAAAUAAAGUGACAUAAUACAGUGACAAAAAACUGAGACCAAUAACAGAUUAAUUUAAGUAAUGUUUUUUAAGCGUAAGGAGUAAAAAAACACUUGACCCUCACAAAUUUGUAUUUGCGUUCAUUGAGAGAAACAAGACAACUUCUCCAGAUACACUGAAAGAUACCUUAACUUUUUUUUCUUAAAUAUUUUUAAGAGCAUGUUUUAGAUGAUUUUGUAAAGUGUUCAUUGUAUGCCACUGAAGAAUUGUUAAACUGACAAAACGCUUUUUUUAUAUAUUUGACAUAUUACCUUUUUCAAUUAUGCAUUAAUUUUUUUUAAAUUUGUAAUUUCAUAUUUUAUCCUUACACAAAAAGUAUACAACAAUUAAAGAGAUGCAGAUCGAGCUAGAGUCGGGAGCCCUGUAAGAUCUGCCUGUCCAUCAUGGCAGUGACAUGGAGAGGUUGGGUGAGGGUGUGUUGUCGCUCCCUCUCUCUGAAUGGUCAGCCCUGCCCAUCUAGGAAGAACGAUGGCAGGAGCUUUAUUCGUAAACUGGAGUUUACGUUGCGUCAUGAAAAGCGAAGAGAAGAGACAGGCAAGCAAGGCUGAGGAAGAUAAUAUUAUUAGUUACGGACCCGAGGGGGGACGUGUGUAAUUAGCAGGGAAAACCCUGGGUAACCCCACAGUGUAUAGUAGGGAAUAGUAAAGCUUAAGCUGAAGGCCCGAGCCGUGCGAGUAGCGAAGGUGGGGGACACUGCAAGAGCAGCAACUUUCAUUUGUAGUUUUGUUUUAUUUUCCUUUUUGCUUUCGCCUUUUGUUUGUAUUAUUAUUUGACAUGAAGUUUUUGUUGUGUGCAUGAAGUAUUCUGGUCCUCCUUUACCAUUGAUGGUAUUGGAGGGAACCAGCAGCACAGUGCCAUGUUGUGGUGAAAUAAAUAAAGUGCACCCUAGUGGUGUGUUUCAA